GAAUGGUCUCUUGUUAAUAAAGAAUGGGUUUUUUCACACUAUAAAGUGAUCAAACAAUUUAUUUCAAAAUUCAUAAAAGAAAAAAUAUGGCUAAAGUUUAUAUAUUCAUUUGUGCUAUGAUUAUCAUUUUUUCCCUAUUUAUUUCAAUAACAAACUGUAUAGAACGACUACCUAGCUGCGAAAAGGAUUCGGAUUGUCCAAGAGAUUUGUGUUGGCUUCCUGAUAUUCCAAGAUGCAUGCAUCAAAUGUGUGGAUGUGCCUUGCCCAGUGAUUAAGUUAUCAAUUAUAUGUUCCAAAGAAGCCAUAAAAGUUGCUUCCUAAAAAAAUAAAAAAGAAGCCAUAAAAGUUAAUUAAAGAUAUAGUAUAUUAUGUUAUUUCUACCCAUAUGAUGAUGUUGGUGGUCUUUAUAUGAUUUAUUUCACAGUUAUGUAUUUUUUCUU